UACGUAGGGUCCGAGCGUUGUCCGGAAUUAUUGGGCGUAAAGAGCUCGUAGGCGGUCCGUUAAGUCGGAAGUGAAAUCUCAAGGCUCAACCUUGAAAUCGCUUUCGAUACUGGCGGACUUGAGGCAGGUAGGGGAAGGUGGAAUUCCUGGUGUAGCGGUGAAAUGCGCAGAUAUCAGGAGGAACACCGGUGGCGAAGGCGGCCUUCUGGGCCUGUUCUGACGCUGAGGAGCGAAAGCGUGGGGAGCAAACAGGAUUAGAUACCCUGGUAGUCCACGCCGUAAACGAUGGGUGCUAGGUGUGGGGGGUUAUCCACUCCCUCCGUGCCGUAGCUAACGCAUUAAGCACCCCGCCUGGGGAUUACGACCGCAAGGUUAAA
rnacentral:rRNA from 1 species